GACGAACGCUGGCGGCGUGCUUAACACAUGCAAGUCGAACGGAAAGGCCCUGCUUUUGUGGGGUGCUCGAGUGGCGAACGGGUGAGUAACACGUGAGUAACCUGCCCUUGACUUUGGGAUAACUUCAGGAAACUGGGGCUAAUACCGGAUAGGAGCUCCUGCUGCAUGGUGGGGGUUGGAAAGUUUCGGCGGUUGGGGAUGGACUCGCGGCUUAUCAGCUUGUUGGUGGGGUAGUGGCUUACCAAGGCUUUGACGGGUAGCCGGCCUGAGAGGGUGACCGGCCACAUUGGGACUGAGAGACGGCCCAGACUCCUACGGGAGGCAGCAGUGGGGAAUAUUGCACAAUGGGCGGAAGCCUGAGGCGGCAACGCCGCGUGCGGGAUGACGGCCUUCGGGUUGUAAACCGCUUUCGCCUGUGACGAAGCGUGAGUGACGGUAAUGGGUAAAGAAGCACCGGCUAACUACGUG
rnacentral:rRNA from 1 species